rnacentral:lncRNA from 10 species
AUAUUAAUAUAUUAUUAUAUCUAUUAUAAUCUAUUCUUUAUAUAUACUAGUCUGCUACCAUGGAAACAGCAGUGACAUGAUAAUUUACAUGUUUUCUUAGAUGCUAGCACUGAUUUUAUUUUUAUUUUUUGUUUUUUUCCAUGUGGGUUGCUAUGUAAGUUUGAUUUCUAGUUUUUUCCAUUUUGCUCUAUGAAUCUUGUUAAAAAUAGCAGAUAAUGGCUUCUAUCUAUUAUAAUAAACUUGAUGGUGUAGUAAUUGUGUUUAAUAGACAUUUUUAUAAGUUAAGUCUUAUGUCUUGCUGGGUUUUUUUUUUGUUUGUUUUUGUUUUUCCCUUGAGACAGAGUUUCAUUCUUGUUGCCGAGGCUGGAGUGCAAUGGCGUGAACUCGGCUCAUCACAACUUCGGCCUCCCGGGUUCAAGUGAUUCUCCUGCCUCAGCCUCCCGAGUAGCUGGGAUUACAGGCAUGUGCCACCAUGCCCGGCUAAUUUUGUAUUUUUUUUAGUAGAGACGGGGUUUCUCUAUGUUGGUCAGGCUGGUUUCAAACUCCCAACCUCAGCCUGACCAACAUGGUGAAACCCCGUCUCUACUAAAAA